AGGUUACUGCUAUCGGUGUUCGCCUAAGCCAUGCGAGUCAUAUGUUCUUCGUGAACAUGGCGUACUGCUCAGUAACACGUGGAUAACCUGCCCUUGGGUCCGGCAUAACCCCGGGAAACUGGGGAUAAUUCCGGCUAACGCACAUAUGCUGGAAUGCUUUAUGCGUAAAAUGGAUUCGUCUGCCCAAGGAUGGGUCUGCGGCCUAUCAGGUAGUAGUGGGUGUAAUGUACCUACUAGCCUACGACGGGUACGGGUUGUGAGAGCAAGAGCCCGGAGAUGGAUUCUGAGACAUGAAUCCAGGCCCUACGGGGCGCAGCAGGCGCGAAAACUUUACAAUGCGGGAAACCGUGAUAAGGGGACACCGAGUGCCAGCAUCCUAUGCUGGCUGUCCGGGUGUGUAAAAUACACCUGUUAGCAAGGGCCGGGCAAGACCGGUGCCAGCCGCCGCGGUAACACCGGCGGCCCGAGUGGUGAUCGUGAUUAUUGGGUCUAAAGGGUCCGUAGCCGGUUUGGUCAGUCCUCCGGGAAAUCUGACAGCUUAACUGUUAGGCUUUCGGAGGAUACUGCCAGACUUGGAACCGGGAGAGGUAAGAGGUACUACAGGGGUAGGAGUGAAAUCUUGUAAUCCCUGUGGGACCACCUGUGGCGAAGGCGUCUUACCAGAACGGGUUCGACGGUGAGGGACGAAAGCUGGGGGCACGAACCGGAUUAGAUACCCGGGUAGUCCCAGCCGUAAACGAUGCUCGCUAGGUGUCAGGCAUGGCGCGACCGUGUCUGGUGCCGCAGGGAAGCCGUGAAGCGAGCCACCUGGGAAGUACGGCCGCAAGGCUGAAACUUAA
rnacentral:rRNA from 1 species